ACUCCAGACUCCUACGGGAGGCAGCAGUGAGGAAUAUUGGUCAAUGGGCGAGAGCCUGAACCAGCCGAGUCGCGUGAGGGAAGACGGUCCUAUGGAUUGUAAACCUCUUUUGUCGGGGAGCAAAAAGGCCUCGUGAGGCCACAAGUGAGAGUACCCGAAGAAAAAGCAUCGGCUAACUCCGUGCCAGCAGCCGCGGUAAUACGGAGGAUGCGAGCGUUAUCCGGAUUUAUUGGGUUUAAAGGGUGCGUAGGCGGACUGGAAAGUCAGCGGUAAAAUCGAGAGGCUCAACCCCUUUCCGCCGUUGAAACUGGCUGUCUUGAGAUGUCGAGAGGUAUGCGGAAUGCGCAGUGUAGCGGUGAAAUGCUUAGAUAUUGCGCAGAACUCCGAUUGCGAAGGCAGCAUACCGGCGGCGAUCUGACGCUGAGGCACGAAAGCGUGGGUAUCGAACAGGAUUAGAUACCCUUGUAA
rnacentral:rRNA from 1 species